CCAGCAGCCGCGGUAAUUCCAGCUCCAAUAGCGUAUAUUAAAGUUGUUGCAGUUAAAAAGCUCGUAGUUGGACCUUGGACCUGGACAGGCGGUCCGCCUCACGGCGAGUACUGUCUUGCUGGGUCUUUCCUCUUGGUGAUCUGUUGUUUCGGCAGCAGGGAACCAGGACCUUUACUUUGAAAUAAUUAGAGUGUUCAAAGCAGGCUCGACGCCGGAAUAUAUUAGCAUGGAAUAAUAAAAUAGGACGUGCGGUUCUAUUUUGUUGGUUUUUGGAAUCGCCGUAAUGAUUAAUAGGGACAGUCGGGGGCAUUAGUACUCACAUGCUAGAGGUGAAAUUCUUGGAUUUUGUGAAGACUAACUUCUGCGAAAGCAUUUGCCAAGGAUGUUUUCAUUAAUCAAGAACGAAGGUUAGGGUAUCGA
rnacentral:rRNA from 1 species